rnacentral:lncRNA from 1 species
UCUUUACAAGCGACUCGUGGGCGUCAAUACUGGGCUGAGUUUGUGGCGCGCUUAGUGAUGGGAUGGCCCUGUGCAGGACGCCGACACGAAAAGAUGAAGAGUUCAAUCCGUGCUGUCUGAACUCACAGUGUAGCAGGCGAGAUAGACGGGAAGAUCGGUAGGGUGGGAGAUGCCGGAAAGGCUUCCCGUGAGACUGGAUAAGAAAUCAAAAAUCUGGUGAAAUUGCCGGCAAGAGGGAGUUAAGGACAUUCCAGGCAGAGGCAAGUUGGUCCUUGCUGGCUGAUCCAGCUUCCCCGUCAGCAUAUGGUGAGCAGUUCGGUGAGAGGACCACACUUCCAAUACUGGCAGAUGAAGCCAGAUACUCCUCUAUGAAGUUAAAUGACUGGUUCAGUGUUAACACUGCUAGUGAGCGACAGAGAUGGAAUUUGAACGCACACCUGUCUGACUCCACCUCGUGUUCCUUCCACAUGGCCAGCAAGCUCUGCUGUCCCACCUCGCACUUCUGGGAGGUGGCUACUCCCUCUUUCCACCCCCUUUUCUGGAUCUUGACAAGGGAUUCUACCCUGCCCCAGCUGUCAAAGCCUGCAGCAGCUGCCAAAAAACCUCAACACAGGCAUACUUUGGACCUACAUCAUGUGUUGAUGUCACAGAUGCUGUACCAGGCAUUUGACUCCUUGAUCUAAAGCCAGGAUUCCUAGCCAACAUGGCGAAACCCUGUCUCUACUAAAAAUAACAAAAAUUAGCUGGGCAUGGUGAUAGGCACCUGUAAUCCCAGCUACUUGGGAGGCUGAGGCAGGAGAAUUACUUGAACCCAGGAAGCGAAGGCUGCAGUGAGCAGAGAUUGUGCCUCUGCACUACAGCCUGGGCUAUGGAGUAAGACUCUGUCUCAAAAAAAAAAAAAAAAAAAAAAUAGUGAGGGGGAUGCAUGCCCACACAAAGGAAUCCUGAUAGAGGAACAAUGGCUUGGUCCGUUUCCCCUCCUGUGUAGCACUGUGAUAAAGGAAAGCCUUUCAGUCCAGAUUCCUAAGAUGAGGACACAGCAUCCUGGGCCACUGUCACUAAUACAAAUUUGCCUCUGGAGGGACUCUACGGAAGAUAAUUCCCCUGAAAUUUGGAGAGUUGAAUUAAGCUAGGACUGAUUCUGGCUGGAAUUUGUGGUGGCUACGUACCCUAGAGGGCCUCAAGGAAACCCACGGUUCAAGACAGCCCUGACAGAUUCUGGAGUCUAGAACAGAAAUGGAUUUGAACAUGGGCAAGGCCAACCACCCAGUUCACGGCCUGUGUACAGCAAAGAUUACGUUACAGCCUGAGAGCUAAGCCUGGAAGCUCUUUCAUCCAUCCGUUUGUCCAUCUAUCCAUCCAUCUGCUCAUCCAUCCCUCCAUCUGCUCAACAAACGUUAGAGAAUCAAUCCUUGUGUCAGAUACUGGGGCUGCCCUCAAGGAGCUUUUAUAGAGUUCAGGGUACAGCCAGGUGGGGGAGACAGAUCACUAUAAAAACCUACCACUAUAAUCCAAAGGACAAGAGCAAAAAUAGUAAAGAGGAGAGAAGACCCAAAUUUGCCUGGUGGGUCAGAGAGGGCUUUCUAGAAGAGGUAAAAAAUCUUCGGGGCUAUCACUUCACCUUGCCUGGUGGAUAAAGGGAGGACUUUCCAGAUACAGUGGACAGAAUGUGCAGAGGCAGGAGCCAUGAGUGGCAGAGGCAGGGGAGGGACUGCAGAGACAGGUUGGAGCCAAAGCACGUGGCACUGGAGCCAUAGCCAAAGGAACAAACUGUGAGACCUGGGACUUGAAUUUGGAGGUGGUGAAAAGUGACAAGGUCUUCACAGAAGAGUGAUUUUUUCAACUUAGGGAAGGCUGACCCCAGACCAAUGCUGCCAAAGUGUGGUCUGUGGGCUGUUAGCAGUUCGUGACGAUGUAAGUACAGGAAUUGAGAUUAAGCAUUUAGAACACCUACAGCACUUUGAUAGUCAUUUUACUUUUUAAAUUUUGAGCUGGCAUUUUAUAUGCCUGGUUUUUUUUUGUUUUUGUUUUUUUAUUUUUUUUGAGACAGUCUCGCUCUGUCGCCCAGGCUGGAGUGCAGUGGCGCGAUCUCUGCUCACUGCAAGCUCCGCCUCCCGGGUUCACGCCAUUCUCCUGCCUCAUCCUCCCAAGUAGCUGGGACUGCAGGCGCCUGCCGCCUCGCCCAGCUAAUUUUUUGUAUUUUUAAUAGAGACGGGGUUUCACCAUGUUAGCCAGGAUGGUCUCAAUCUCCUGAUCUCGUGAUCUGCCCGCCUUGGCCUCCCAAAAUGCUGGGAUUACAGGUGUGAGCCACCACGCCCAGCCUUAUUCUCUUUUUCUAAUAGUUGCACUUUAUCAUAUUUUACAAAUGUGUGAGUCUGCUAUGGAUUAGAAAUUAAUAAGAGAUUUUGCCACAGAUAGUUUGAGAAGCCCAGCACUGCCACUCAACAAAUGCUGGUGCAUUCAGAUGGUGAAAUAUUCUGCAGCUAUUAAAGGAGUUAAAACUGCCUCCACUUACCUGGAGGCCCAUCUGUGACACCUUUUUAGGUUAAAAGGAAAAGAAAAACUUGCUUAGGACUGAAUAUGAGCGGUUGCAAUUUGUAACAAUGAUGUAUAUAUACAUAUACAUUUUCAUGUAUUUGUAUGAACAUAAAAGUAUUGAAGGAUAUUCAUCAAACUGCUAAAAGGGUUGCUUCAGAGUAACGGACUCGGAGAAGGCAGAUUAAUUUUCUCUUAAUGGAACUCUGUAUUGUAUCACUUGUAAAAAUAAGCAUGUGUUAUCUUUAUGAUAAAAAAGUAAAAACCUAAAAAA